GGGUAAACUGUCAAUGAUGUAACAAUGAUGAAGUUAUAAACUCUCUUCAGAGUUUAUAACUUCAUCAGAGUAAAAAAUAGGUUAUAAACUCUCUUUGUCAAUGAUGUAAAUGAUGACACAGUAGGUUAAAAAUAAAUAGACAUUAUUCAAAAUUUACAAAGAUUUCAUCAAAUUGAUUUGAAAGGUACAUACCUACCUAUCCAUAAUAUGAGGGCCUACAAGAGGAAGGACGGGAGUCAUGCUUGUUGUUCACAUUCAGAAACUCAGUUAUCAGCGGCCCUUCAAUAUUGCCGGAAGGGUAAUAUGAGUUUGCUAAAAGCAUCUAAAAAGUUUAAAAUUCCAUAUGGGACAUUGCAAAACAGAAUGAAAGGUAAACCUGGAAAAAAAGUCAGACAUCCAGUUGCACUCUCUUCUAAUUGCGAGAAUCGCCUUUUGAAGGCAAUAAACGUUCUUUGUGAUUGGAAAAUGCCUGUUGAUGGAUUAGAUAUUCCUUUAAUGGUCAAACAUUAUCUGGAUAACCCCGGUUUUAAAAACAGACAAUUUAACAACAAUUUACCAGGGAUCAAUUGGAUGCUAAGUUUUAUCAAACGCCAUAAGCUGACAAUACGCAUUGCUGACAAUGUAAAACCUUCUCACGCAGUGGUUUGUGGACAAACUGUGAAUGCUUACUUUUGAUGAAUUAGCAAAGACAUUAGAAGGCAUUGAGCCCUGUAAUAUUUAUAACUGACAAGACUAAUCUUUCGGAUGACCCUGGCGCAAAAUCGAUCAUUUACAGACAAGGACUUGUGUAAGCAUCAUGUAUUGUGGAAAUGCUAUUGGAGUAUUCCUACCACCUAUGGUAGUAUAUAAGUCUCAAAAUGUUUAUCAAGAAUGGACCAGAGGUGGCCUAGAAAGAACUUGCUAUGGCAACACAAAAUCAGGCUGGUUCGAUUCAAGAACCUUCAAACGCUGGUUUCUAGAAAUAUUUCUUUCUAACGUUUGUAAAGAUCGUGGACCAAAAGUCAUCAUUGGUAACAAUCUUGCCUCUAAUUUUUCUCUUCCAGUCAUUGAGGCCGCCUAACUGAAUAACAUUCGUUUCACCUGUUUGGUACCAAAUGCAAGUCAUCUCCUUCAACCACAGGAUGUUGCAGUUUUUAGAUCCAUGAAGAAAGAAUAGAAGAGAAUCCUGGAAUGUUGGCGAAAAGAAAGUCGCAUCAAAGGUACAAUACCAAAGACACAUUUUCUUGGGUUAUUGUUGAAGUUGCAUCAAAGACUAAAAUAACAAAACCUGAUUUCUGGCUUUUCGGCUUGCGAAAUAUAUCCUUUAAACAGAGAUGAAGUCUUGAAAAGACUGUCAAAUGUGAACCGAGAUGUUGGUGGUGAAAAGGUUAAAGAAAUCUUUGGUACGGUUGUUCAGGAAAUGCUAAAAGAUCAUUGUGGAUUCAAUAAACCGGACAAACAUAGAAGAGAGGAAAAAAGAUAAUUCCUGGUAAAAAAAUAACAUCAAAUGAUCUCAGUGUGAUCAAAGAAAUAAAAAAACAAACACAGCGUAGUGGUACUGGUGCAAAAUUGGUUGUCAAAAAAAACGAUCAAAUAAAAAAAUUGAGUCUUCAACAUCUUCAGAUAAUGAUUUUGAAAUUGAAAUGGAACUUUAAGAUGACAGUGAAGACUCUAUGGAAUCAGCUGAUAAAACAACUGACAUUCCAUUUGAACCAAAGCAAUGGGUAGUUGUAGCCUACACUAGGAAGUAACUGUUGUCAAUUACAUAGGUCAAGUUGUUGAAGUGUUUAAGAGAACAAAACUACUUCAUAUAAAAUUUUUGAAAAAACAACCGGCAAGUAAAUUCUUCAAAUUUACAGAAAGCAAAGAUGAUAUGGAUGAAGCUGUUCCAUAUUCAGUUGUGGUUGAAAGAAUUUCAGAUGAACCAAGAAAAACAAGGGAUCAAUAUCGGUUCCCAUACCUAUCUCACUAAGUCAUUAACUAAAAUCAAGAACUUUUGAUAAUUUAUAAUUUUGAGUUUGAUAAAGUUUGAUAAUUUUUGAAAUUUUUUAAA